AUACAGCCCAGUCGCCAUGGGGAUGGGCCGGGGCCUGUUCCGGUUGGUCCAGACCCCUCCAUCUGCCCCCGGGGAACCAUGAAGCGAGGGCGCCGAUUGGUGCAGGCGACAUGGGAUGAGGAACUGGGAUUGCUGCUGGAAAAGACUCCAUCACCGCCAAGCAUGGGCUGGGCAGAGCAGGUCUCUGGGCUGGGCACGUCCUGACAUUGUGGAUGAAAUUUCAGAGCUCAAGGCUGAGGACACAGCUGACCCUCUUCUCAGAAAACAGGUGGGGUCGAGCUGGAUUUGGUGACUUACUGGAAGCACUGUGACCGUUGAUGGCCAAGCUGGGCAGACGCCAGAAGGCGCACCCCGGAGUGCUGGGCAGCUGACUUGUCCUUGCACGCCUGCCAACUGUUCGCACAGAAAUCAUCUGAGAGGGCCGCACCUAGAGACCCUGUGAGACUUCAGUGUCUUUGUCAGUCUGUGCAGACUCAUUUUGUCGCACACACCCGCCCACAGGGAACUGCCUUGAGGCAGCGCCACCACAGCCGGACAAAUGGUGCCAUCCUCCUCCUGGCCCCUUGAAACAGCACAUUUACAUUCGAGCUUUGGGCAGGUGCCUCACCCUCCCCUCCCUGUCCCCACCUCCCUGGGGAAAUGCCCAGAUCAAACCAAUGCAACCAAUUUAUGCUGUGUCAUCUCGCUGUGGGGGUGGAAGGACAGAAAUCGGCGGAGAAGGGGUGAGUUUGAGGAAAGCUAGGAAUCUACAAGCAGAUUAAUGCGCUUAUC